UACGUAGGGUGCAAGCGUUAAUCGGAAUUACUGGGCGUAAAGCGUGCGCAGGCGGUUGUGCAAGACCGAUGUGAAAUCCCCGGGCUUAACCUGGGAAUUGCAUUUGUGACUGCACGGCUAGAGUGUGUCAGAGGGGGGUAGAAUUCCACGUGUAGCAGUGAAAUGCGUAGAUAUGCGGAGGAACACCGAUGGCGAAGGCAAUCCCCUGGACCUGUACUGACGCUCAUGCACGAAAGCGUGGGGAGCAAGCAGG
rnacentral:rRNA from 1 species